GGGACUCUCCAGGGUUCCUGGGACCAGUGCCUGAAGCUAGAUUUCUCCUUGCUGGAAUUGCCUUUCCUCUGAUGCUGCAAUUGCUUGGAGCAAGUGGGGCAAAACAAGAGUCCCUAGGAACUCCAAUCGAGGAUCAGGGCCCCAUUGUGGUCGGCGCUGUACAGACACAGAACAAAAAGACAGUCCUUGUCUGCAAAGUGCUGUCUCCCCAGACAUGGCCCCUCUCGCCUCAUUCCCAGGGGCUGGAGCCAGUUUCCAGCCAAGGAACAAGAAGAGGCAUUAUCACCUUUGGGCGGGCUGGCUGGUCCUCUUCUGGCCCCAGCUCCCCUCCUCUCUGCUCCUUUUCCAAGGCCCCUGCUUUCAAUCAGCCCCUGCGGCCCUUUGAUCUCACAGAAAUCCCUCUGUGUCUAAAGAGUAGCCAGGUAUUCAGCCUGACCCAGCUACAGCUCAGUGCCAGGAAGGGGCUUUUCCCGUUUUCUUGCCUUAAAGAGACACCAUCGCAUAGAAUCUUGCUGAGGCUCCGGUUCAAACAUUAUGAGCCAGCUCUCUCCCACUCCAAAAAAUAAAAUAAAAAAAUCACAGGAUUGGCUUAAAAAU